rnacentral:lncRNA from 1 species
UCAAAUUGCCAACGUACACCAACUCUUGAAUAUAUGAUUCGACAAUAAUAACAAAGUUACAUUUCUGAAUCAUAAGUUCCCGUAAUCAUUUAAUAUAAUGAACUAUCUACUCAAAUUGUUCAUAGAUUUCAAAGUGGUAGACUAUUUUUGUUUUUCCUAAAAAACAAACUUAGUGAAUUGUAAUCAAUCAUCAACCCUCAUUUUUAGAGGUCAACAACUCUAGAGCUUAUCGUUUCUUUUAACCAUAUUUGGACACCN